UGGACUACCAUGUGUGCAGACCUAUAGGACAACUGCUGGAAAACAAAAGGGAUUUAUUUAUCCCAAGUCCAUAAGUGGAUCCUUCCUUAUAUGCUUUACAGACAUUUAGAAAAAUUGCGGAAAUAUUAACCUAAUGAGGCAAGAUAAACAAACCAUAUAUCUACAUUUUUGGAGAAGAAUGUAAUCCACUAGGUGGCCUAUAAUAAGGAACCCCACCAAAGGCUGUUACAUUUUGAGAAUCUUCUUCCUCGAGUUUUUCAACCUAUUAAAAAAACCUUUCAGCACAAUUGGGUCCAAUUAAUACUCUUUACCUUUUAUGAAUGAUACAGCUAUUUCCAAAUAAACAGAGAGUUGUUAUUUAGAAGCACAAUUUGGUCCAAUUAAAAUUCAUUACCUUUUAUGAAUGAUACAGAUAUUUCAAAAUAAACAGAGA